ACUCAACUAAGCCUUAAUCCCAAAAAUUUGGAGUCAGCUCAUGAGGUGAACAUAGCCUUAAAAUAUUUUUAGCCAGAGCAAAAUAGUGGGAAUAAUAUCUUCAAUCAGUUUGCAGCAAAUAGCAGAUCUUAUGUAGUCACCAUGGGAAUGCAAAAGAUAAAUAAUGGUCAUAAAUCAUAAAUUGAUGUAAAUAUCAACUUACGUUUUACCAAAAACAACUCAAUAUCUUUAAUAGUAAUUCACACUAACAUGCAAUACAUCACAGAUGUGAAGCAAAAGUAUACC
rnacentral:misc_RNA from 1 species